rnacentral:rRNA from 1 species
AGCCCCACUCUAGCCCAACCUACCCGUAACUAAUAAUAAACCAAAUUCCAUUUUAAGCCUAAACUAAAACAUUCUACUAGCUCAGUAUAGGUGAUAGAACAGACUCAUCUGGCGCGAUAGAAAUACGUACCGUAAGGGAACGAUGAAAUAACAGUGAAAAUCUAAGCAGCAAACAGCAAAGAUAAACCCUUGUACCUCUUGCAUCAUGAUUUAGUUAGAACAACCAAGCAAAACGAAUUUAAGCUUGCCCCCCCGAAACCCAAGCGAGCUACUUACGAGCAGCUAUCCUGAGCAAACCCGUCUCUGUCGCAAAAGAGUGGGAUGACUCGUUAGUAGAGGUGAAAAGCCAAUCGAGCUGGGUGAUAGCUGGUUGCCUGUGAAACGAACCUGAGUUCUCCCUUGACUUUUCUCUAUGGACCCUAACAUAACCCUUCCCGCCGCAAGUCAAGAGUAAUUUAAAGGAGGUACAGCUCCUUUAAAAAAGAAUACACCCUUUCCUAGCGGAUAACAAUUACACCAUUAUUCUAACUGUGGGCCUUCAAGCAGCCACCAACAAAGAAUGCGUCAAAGCUCUUCAUAAAAAGAUUCAAGCACAGUACGAUUCCCUUACCAAUAACAGGCCAACCUAUUCCAAUAGGAGAGCUAAUGCUAAAAUAAGUAACUUGGGAUUAUCCCUCUUAAAGCGCAAGCUUACAUUCCCACAUUAUUAACAGACCCACUAAUACUGCAACUCCAACAAGACUAAAUAUUACCCGCCACCUGUUAACCCGACUCCGGUGCGCCUCUCAGAAAGAUUAAACUCUGCAAAAGGAACUAGGCAAACCCAAGGCCCGACUGUUUACCAAAAACAUAGCCUUCAGCCAACCAAGUAUUGAAGGUGAUGCCUGCCCAGUGACACUAUGUUCAACGGCCGCGGUAUCUUAACCGUGCGAAGGUAGCGCAAUCAAUUGUCCCAUAAAUCGGGACUUGUAUGAAUGGCUAAACGAGGUCUCAACUGUCUCUUGCAGAUAAUCAGUGAAAUUGAUCUUCCUGUGCAAAAGCAGGAAUAUGAACAUAAGACGAGAAGACCCUGUGGAACUUAAAAAUCAACGACCACUACAAAUUUGAACCAAAACCUAAAAGGAACACCACAAAAAACGCUGGCACGUAUUUUUCGGUUGGGGUGACCUUGGAGAAAAAUAGACCCUCCAAAAACAAGACCACACCUCUUAGCCAAGAGCAACCCCUCAACGCGCUAAUAGCGAUCAGACCCAAUAUAAUUGAUCAAUGAACCAAGCUACCCCAGGGAUAACAGCGCAAUCUCCUUCAAGAGCCCAUAUCGACAAGGGGGUUUACGACCUCGAUGUUGGAUCAGGACAUCCUAAUGGUGCAGACGCUAUUAAGGGUUCGUUUGUUCAACGAUUAACAGUCCUACGUGAUCUGAGUUCAGACCGGAGCAAUCCAGGUCGGUUUCUAUCUAUGACAACUUUCUCCAGUACGAAAGGACCGAGAAAGUAGGGCCAAUACCACAAGCAUGCCCUUUCCCCAAAUAGUGAACCCAACUAAACUAUCAAAAGGACACUCACAUCCACCACAUCCUAAAAAAGGAUCG